UCUGAUGAUCCUUGAGAAGGGUUUGUUGCUGCUCUCUUCUUUUGGUCACUGAGCAUAGCACUCCUUUGGCUGAGUUCUCUUCACUCAUGUAAGUCUUCCCAU
rnacentral:lncRNA from 1 species